rnacentral:rRNA from 1 species
UACGUAGGGUGCAAGCGUUAAUCGGAACUACUGGGCGUAAAGCGUGCGCAGGCGGUUCUAUAAGACAGAUGUGAAAUCCCCGGGCUCAACCUGGGAACUGCAUUUGUGACUGUAGAGCUGGAGUACGGUAGAGGGGGAUGGAAUUCCGCGUGUAGCAGUGAAAUGCGUAGAUAUGCGGAGGAACACCGAUGGCGAAGGCAAUCCCCUGGACCUGUACUGACGCUCAUGCACGAAAGCGUGGGGAGCAACAGG